rnacentral:rRNA from 1 species
UACGUAGGAGGCAAGCGUUGUCCGGAAUUAUUGGGCGUAAAGAGCUCGUAGGCGGUUUGUCGCGUCUGCUGUGAAAACCCGAGGCUCAACCUCGGGCCUGCAGUGGGUACGGGCAGACUAGAGUGCGGUAGGGGAGAUUGGAAUUCCUGGUGUAGCGGUGGAAUGCGCAGAUAUCAGGAGGAACACCAAUGGCGAAGGCAGAUCUCUGGGCCGUAACUGACGCUGAGGAGCGAAAGCAUGGGGAGCGAACAGG